GACGAACGCUGGCGGCGUGCUUAACACAUGCAAGUCGAACGGAAAGGUCCUGCUUUUGUGGGGUGCUCGAGUGGCGAACGGGUGAGUAACACGUGAGUAACCUGCCCUUGACUUUGGGGUAACUUCAGGAAACUGGGGCUAAUAUCGGAUAAGAGCUCCUGCUGCAUGGUGGGGGAUGGUAAGUUUCGGCGGUUGGGGAUGGUCUCGCGGCUUAUCGGCUUGUUGGUGGGGUAGUGGCUUACCAAGGCUUUGACGGGUAGCCGGCCUGAGAGGGUGACCGGCCACAUUGGGACUGAGAUACGGCCCAGACUCCUACGGGAGGCAACAGUGGGGAAUAUUGCACAAUGGGCGGAAGCCUGAUGCAGCAACGCCGCGUGCGGGAUGACGGCCUUCGGGUUGUAAACCGCUUUCGCCUGUGACGAAGCGUGAGUGACGGUAAUGGGUAAAGAAGCACCGGCUAACUACGUG
rnacentral:rRNA from 1 species